AGCAACCAGGGCGUCCGGGUAAGGAGGCGAUGCCAGCACGAGGGUCUCAUCCCCCUCCUCCCAGAUCCCAUUCCAAUGACCCACAGACGGGAACACCAGAGGGAAAAGCCUGCCCCCCGCGCUGGCGCUGCGCACGGCUGGGACGGACACCGCAUCUCCAAGGCGCCGGACGACGAAUGGAAAGAAAAGGCCAGCUCAUGACUCACCCUCGGCGGAAGUGGGGCGGUGCGCAGCCAGAGUAAGCGGCAGAGACACAGGCAGAAACCUGCUAAUAGCCCUUCGGUUCAAGGAGCCACCGCCGCCGACAGGAGGUUAGACCAUCGGGAGGUCAGGAGCACAUCUGGAUUCCUUCAACGUGUUUGAAAAGUAAACCAGAUUUUAUUUACAUUGGUGAAAAAGGAAUGCCGAGAAACGGAGUGCCAGGAGCUCGGUGGCUUUGCUCAUUAGUGCUGCUUGCUUGUGAAACCGGGCAGCGGUUUUGUCGUUCUGUUCGAGGACAUGUAAAGGAUGUGCUAAGAAAGAUGUCCACUAACAGGUGUUGGAAGCAGGAUUCAUGGUGGUUGCCUUUGGACCCUUUGUUGCCUUUUCUUUGAAAACUCUCAGUGCCAAGAACUAGAAUCGGGUGGCAGAAGAAUUUCCUUUCCGCAAAUGCUCUUCGCUGUAAAUGACAUUCUUUAUGAAGAAUAUAGAAUUUGUUCCUCUAAUGCUUAUUAUAAAUAGCACAAGAGAGCUUAGUAAUGAGGAUUCUGAGACACCGAUCAGGAGAACAGAAUCGAGAAAUUGCCUGGGAGCGCCACAACGGUCUAGGGGAUGGAAGAACCACAGCAUGAAGGCGCCUGGCUCCCUGGCUGACGGCACGGGGCAGGACUCCUCCCUCUUCCCUUCCCCACUUAACUGCCAAGUGGGCCUGAUGUGAGAAACACCCUUCUGUGUUCCUCUGAUAUUCUGGGUUUAUGCCUUGAAGAAGCUGGUACUACUCUAGUGAAUAUAUCUGGGUAUUUAUCUGCAUGUCUACAAGAUCAGCACCUGUUGUUACUGUGGCAAUUCUGUUUUCCAAAACAAUGGCGGUCACCUCAGCCACUUAUUUCCAAGCCAUAGAUGUCAUCAGCACGUCUAUUUCUACAGUUAUUCUGAGAUUCUACUUUUCAUCAAUGGAAUCAGUUGGGGGAAGAGAGGAGACCAUUAAACAAAAUACAGGCUAGACUGAAUCUGCCCACACUUCUUAGUGUAGACUUACGUGGAGCUGGGGAAGGUGCGGGAGCAGCAUCCACCUGGACUUAGUUCUGUUUUGCUCCUCCAAAGGUGUCCUGUUUCUGGUUGGGAGAGUUGUGUGGGGGAGGCCCUUUGAUCAUUUCCACUCGAAGAUGUCACCUGCCAGCAUGGGUGACACUGCAUCUGUCAGAAGAGCACCCUCUCCUGUAGCUUCCGGUGGCAGGGAAAUUUUCACUUACAGAAUGAAAGUUGAGAGGUACCUGCCAUCAAUAAAGGCCAUGAUCAACUCAAGAGCUUGCACCAGAAGGCAUAGCCACUGUGGGAAUAUUGUUCCAAGAAUAAAAGCAGAAAAAAAAAUGCCGACUAUUAAUAUGGUAAACAAGUAGUUUAGUUUUGUUUAUUGAUAUAUUCUGAAUUAAAAAAACAGGGAGUUCCCAUCGUGGCUCAGUGGUAACG